UCUUAUGCACAUGCCUACGGCAUAAAGUUAAUGCACCAGAUCCCAUUAUAACUCCACAGUUAAACAGGCUUGGGCUAUAGUAGUAUUGGGAUGGGUGACCGUCCAGGAAGUCCUAGGAUUUUACAUGCC
rnacentral:rRNA from 1 species